AGCGAACGCUGGCGGCAGGCUUAACACAUGCAAGUCGAGCGCUCGUAGCAAUACGAGAGCGGCAGACGGGAGAGUAACACGUGGGAACGUACCCUUCAGUUCGGAACAACCCAGGGAAACUUGGGCUAAUACCGGAUACGUCCGUAAGGAGAAAGAUUUAUCGCUGAAGGAUCGGCCUGCGUCUGAUUAGCUAGUUGGUGAGGUAACGGCUCACCAAGGCGACGAUCAGAGCUGGUCUGAGAGGAUGAUCAGCCUCACUGGGACUGAGACACGGCCCAGACUCUUACGGGAGGCAGCAGUGGGGAAUAUUGGACAAUGGGCGCAAGCCUGAUCCAGCCAUGCCGCGUGGGUGAUGAAGGCCUUAGGGUUGUAAAGCCCUUUCGGCGGGGAAGAUAAUGACGGUACCCGCAGAAGAAGCCCCGGCUAACUUCGUGCCAGCCGCCGCCGUAAG
rnacentral:rRNA from 1 species